AACGAACGCUGGCGGCGUGCCUAACACAUGCAAGUCGUGCGAGAAAGUUCCUUCGGGAGCGAGUAAAGCGGCGCACGGGUGAGUAACACGUAGGUAACCUGCCCCCCAGUCUGGAACAACUAGAGGAAACUCUAGCUAAUGCCGGAUGAGACCACGAUCCCUUCGGGGGUUGCGGCCAAAGAUGGCCUCUACUUGUAAGCUAUCGCUGAGGGAUGGGCCUGCGGGCCAUUAGCUUGUUGGUGAGGUAACGGCUCAUCAAGGCUGUGAUGGCUAGCUGGUCUGAGAGGAUGACCAGCCACACUGGGACUGAGACACGGCCCAGACUCCUACGGGAGGCAGCAGUGGGAAUAUUGCGCAAUGGGCGAAAGCCUGACGCAGCGACGCCGCGUGGGUGAUGAAGGCC
rnacentral:rRNA from 1 species